rnacentral:rRNA from 1 species
AGAUUGAACGCUGGCGGCAUGCCUUACACAUGCAAGUCGAACGGCAGCACGGGGGCAACCCUGGUGGCGAGUGGCGAACGGGUGAGUAAUGCAUCGGAACGUGCCCAGUAGUGGGGGAUAACUAGUCGAAAGAUUAGCUAAUACCGCAUACGACCUAUGGGUGAAAGCGGGGGAUUCGCAAGAACCUCGCGCUAUCGGAGCGGCCGAUGUCUGAUUAGCUAGUUGGCGGGGUAAAGCCCACCAAGGCUUCGAUCAGUAGCUGGUCUGAGAGGACGACCAGCCACACUGGGACUGAGACACGGCCCAGACU